ensembl:ncRNA lncRNA:CR44753 long non-coding RNA:CR44753
CGUAGCAGGGCAUACGGGCUUAGACAACCAACUUUAUACAUCGAUUUCCACCAUUCUUUUUCUGGUGCAGCUGAAAAAUAACCGUGCGCAGCACAGGGCACAAAUAAAAUGAACACACGCUCAUUUGUUAGGGGUUGCUUUUUUCUGCACCGACUGGCAUUUUCGGUGCCUUAACGCCACAAAAUAGGGGAGCCGAAGUUAAAGUCACUACCAAAGAUACAGAAGACCGAUAUGGGUAAAGAUGCUAAGAUACAGAUACCGCGGCAACGGCGCAUUGAACUUUGCUCAACCCAAAGGUUCAGCUCCAGUUCGUCAUGCAAACAAAGAUGUUGGGAUCGUGGGCCAUUUUGAUUUGGCUUCCCUGCUUGGACCAACAAUUGGGUCUCGUCUUUUUGCGGUCUCAAACUGGAUGAUCAUGAACCCUGGAAUAAUGAUAAUCAUGAUCACAACACGAUCCGGAGGGAAUAAGAGGGCGCUGAACAAAAAGGCAGUAGCACGCACCAUUAGAUGCGGUCAACAUAAAAACAUCUGCUCUUCGGUGGACUCCGUUUCAGGUCAAAUAAUAUAUAUAUGUAUAAAACACACAUACAGAGAGAAUCAACGGGUAUCCGAUAGCCAAGGAACUCGACUAUAGCGACAUCUUCUAUGGUUCCAUGGUCUGGUUUCACAUCCCAGAUCAAGAUCCCCACAACAUAUCCCAAUGUAAAUUGUGCCAAUUGGUCGGCAUAUUUAUGGCCUACACAGUUGGGCCUCAGUUAACUUUAAUCAAUUUUUUGUGCUACGCUUUCACGAACUGCGGGGCCGUACAUCGCAGCUUAAUCCGAGACUAGUGCAUAUAACGUUUAAUUUAAAAACGCAUAAAAUUUUGUAACAAUGUCGCAGAUGAUCUGCACCAUUUACUUUAUUGCCGUUCGGCAACCCUGACCAUGUUUGGCUUCCUGAACUUUUUCCGAAACAGUUUAAACUUUACGGGGAAUCCAACGGGGACUC